rnacentral:rRNA from 1 species
AGGGUUUGAUCAUGGCUCAGAACGUACGCUGGCGGCACGCCUAACACAUGCAAGUCGAACGAAGUAGUAAUACUUAGUGGCAGACGGGUGAGUAACAUGUGGGUAUCUACCCUUUGGCCUGGAAUAACACGAGGAAACUUGUGCUAAUACCGGAUAAGUCUUCACAGAGAAAGCUUUAUGCACCAUUGGAUGAGCCUGCACUUGAUUAGUUAGUUGGUAGGGUAAUGGCCUACCAAGACUUUGAUCAAUAGCUGAUUUGAGAGGAUGAUCAGCCACAUUGGGACUGAGACACGGCCCAAACUCCUACGGGAGGCAGCAGUGGGGAAUCUUGCACAAUGGAGGAAACUCUGAUGCAGCGAUGCCGCGUGAGUGAAGAAGGCCCUUGGGUUAUAAAGCUCUUUCGUCGGGGAAGAAAAUGACUGUACCCGAAUAAGAAGGUCCGGCUAACUUCGUGCCAGCAGCCGCGGUAAUACGAAGGGACCUAGCGUAGUUCGGAAUUACUGGGCUUAAAGAGUUCGUAGGUGGUUGAAAAAGUUGGUGGUGAAAUCCCAGAGCUUAACUCUGGAACUGCCAUCAAAACUUUUCAGCUAGAGUAUGAUAGAGGAAAGCAGAAUUUCUAGUGUAGAGGUGAAAUUCGUAGAUAUUAGAAAGAAUACCAAUUGCGA